UUUUCAAGCUUGAAAUUCAACAUCAUUAGUUGAUUUUCAAAGCUCAAUUCCUUAACCUAUCAUCUCCAUCACACUUCCAGAGCAAAAGCAGAUCAAAAUCUCAUCAUUAGUUGAUUUUCAAAGCUCAAUUCCUUAACCUAUCAUCUCCAUCACACUUCCAGAGCAAAAGCAGAUCAAAAUCUUGAAGAAUUCGUGGCAUUUGAAGCUUCAUUUUAGAGGUAGAACCUCAAACUUUUUU
rnacentral:lncRNA from 1 species